AGCUUUGUACAGUGGCAGUGUUGUAGACAUUGAGGUUUAUCUGAGGCUCAAUUAUUGCUAAUUAAAAAUGGCCUCAAAUUAAG
rnacentral:snRNA from 1 species